CCCUUAGAUGUUCUGGGCCGCACGCGCGCUACACUGAUGCAUUCAACGAGCCUAUCCUUGACCGACAGGUCCGGGUAAUCUUUGAAUCUGCAUCGUGACGGGGAUAGAUUAUUGCAAUUAUUAAUCUUCAACGAGGAAUGCCUAGUAGGCGCAAGUCAUCAGCUUGCGUCGAUUACGUCCCUGCCCUUUGUACACACCGCCCGUCGCUCCUACCGACUGGGUGUGCUGGUGAAAUGUUCGGAUCGGCCGUUUGUCGCGGUUUCCGCGGCUCGUGGCUGAGAAGUUCAUUAAACCCUCCCACCUAGAGGAAGGAGAAGUCGUAACA
rnacentral:rRNA from 1 species